GUAGGAAGCGAGCGUUAUCCGGAUUUACUGGGCGUAAAGCGUGUGUAGGCGGUUUGAUAAGUUGGAUGUGAAAGCUCCUGGCUUAACUGGGAGAGGUCGUUCAAAACUAUCAGACUUGAGAGUGGUAGAGGGAGGUGGAAUUCCGGGUGUAGUGGUGAAAUGCGUAGAUAUCCGGAGGAACACCAGUGGCGAAAGCGGCCUCCUGGCCCAUUUCUGACGCUCAGACACGAAAGCUAAGGUAGCAAACGGGAUUAGAGACCCCGGUAGUCUUAGCUGUAAACGAUGUGAACUUAGUGUCGGUGGGUUUAAAUCCAUCGGUACUGAAGCUAACGCGAUAAGUUCACCGCCUGGGGACUACGGCCGCAAGGUUA
rnacentral:rRNA from 1 species